ACAGGGAAAUUCUAUGUCCUUUCUUCUGGACACAGAGUUAUGUGUAGUAAAUAGAAAUGCUUCGGCAAUAAGCGCCCAGUUGCCAGACCAAAGGAAUCCAGUUUACACUUGUGUUCCAUCCCCUCUAUCACUCUCCACCCACAAGAACUACUACCCUCAAACAGGUUCCAAGAGAAUUCUUAGAAUAGAAACAGACAAGAGCAAAAGAUUCUAAAAAUAAUACAGUAGAAAUUCAAACAUAAAUAUCUCAGGUUCUUGAAGUGAAGGAAACACCAGGUUAUUUCAAUCUAUUCAACCAAAUUUUAAAACUCAUAUUUACCUAGCCUCAUCCAGAGUAAAUUAAAGAUAGGAUAGAUUAAUAGCAGAACAUGUUUUCAACACAUGCUGAGAACUAUGAAGAUUUUGCUGAAAGCACCAACCACCAAAGUGGUCUUAUCACUUUAUUUAAGCUAGUAUUACCAAGUGUCAGCACUGGAAGAUAGCUCUAAAACCAGGAGGCUCACACAAUGAGGUAUCUCAUCUACUGCAUUAAAAAAAAAAAAAAAAAUCUACAUUCCAGAAACAGCAAAAAUGAAUGUCUCUUUUUCAAAGAGAAUGUAAUUAU